GACAGAGGGUGCAAACGUUGUUCGGAAUUACUGGGCGUAAAGCGCGUGUAGGCGGCUAAGUAAGUCGGGCGUGAAAUCCCACGGCUCAACCGUGGAAGUGCACUCGAAACUGCAUAGCUAGAGUCCUGGAGAGGAAGGUGGAAUGCUUGGUGUAGAGGUGAAAUUCGUAGAUAUCAAGCGGAACACCGGUGGCGAAGGCGGCCUUCUGGACAGUGAUUGACGCUGAGACGCGAAAGCGUGGGGAGCAAACAGG
rnacentral:rRNA from 1 species